UCCCUGUUAGCAUAAUAUAUGCCAGUACUCCAAUGCUCCACAUAUCGGUUGCUGUACUGAUUGGGUCAUAACUCAGAAUUUCAGGAGCUACAUAUUCUGGAGUUCCCAUAAUUUCUCUUAAUUCCUCACUGCUCUUCACUAUCCUGGAAAGGCCAAAAUCUACUAUCUUUAUGUCUCCCAGUGGAGACUUACUGGUUAGUAGAAUGUUUUGUGGCUUUAAGUCAAGAUGAACAACAUUGUUUCUGUGCAAGAAUGAAACUCCUUCUAAGAUCUGCUUCAUUAGUCGUUUCACAUCUUUCUCUUUGAAGGCCUCCUCUCUUUCAGCAACACACUGGUCAAAGAUUUCAC
rnacentral:lncRNA from 1 species